rnacentral:rRNA from 1 species
CUACGUGCCAGCAGCCGCGGUAAUACGUAGGUGGCAAGCGUUGUCCGGAUUUAUUGGGCGUAAAGCGAGCGCAGGCGGUUCCUUAAGUCUGAUGUGAAAGCCCCCGGCUCAACCGGGGAGGGUCAUUGGAAACUGGGGAACUUGAGUGCAGAAGAGGAGAGUGGAAUUCCAUGUGUAGCGGUGAAAUGCGUAGAUAUAUGGAGGAACACCGGUGGCGAAAGCGGCUCUCUGGCUUGUAACUGACGCUGAGGCUCGAAAGCGUGGGGAGCAAACAGGAUUAGAUACCCUGGUAGUCCACGCCAUAAACGAUGAGUGCUAGGUGUUAGACCCUUUCCGGGGUUUAGUGCCGUAGCUAACGCAUUAAGCACUCCGCCUGGGGAGUACGACCGCAAGGUUGAAACUCAAAGGAAUAGACGGGGACCCGCACAAGCGGUGGAGCAUGUGGUUUAAUUCGAAGAUACGCGAAGAACCUUACCCGGACCUGAUAUC